CACGUAGGGCGCAAGCGUUGUCCGGAAUUAUUGGGCGUAAAGAGCUCGUAGGCGGACUGUCACGUCUGCUGUGAAAAGCUAGGGCUUAACCCUGGCCUUGCAGUGGAUACGGGCAGACUAGAGGUAGGUAGGGGAGAAUGGAAUUCCCGGUGUAGCGGUGAAAUGCGCAGAUAUCGGGAGGAACACCGGUGGCGAAGGCGGAUCUCUGGACAGUUCCUGACGCUGAGGCGCGAAGGCCAGGGGAGCAAACGGG
rnacentral:rRNA from 1 species